rnacentral:rRNA from 1 species
UACAGAGGGGGCAAGCGUUAUUCGGAAUUAUUGGGCGUAAAGGGCGCGUAGGCGGCUUUUCAAGUGGCGGGUGAAAUCCCCAGGCUUAACCUGGGAACUGCAUUCGAGACUGCAUUGCUAGAGUAUGGGAGAGGGAAGUGGAAUUUCCGGUGUAGCGGUGAAAUGCGUAGAUAUCGGAAGGAACAUCAGUGGCGAAAGCGACUUCCUGGACCAAUACUGACGCUCAUGUGCGAAAGCGUGGGGAGCAAACAGG